rnacentral:rRNA from 1 species
GACGAACGCUGGCGGCGUGCGUAAUACAUGCAAGUAGAACGCUGAAGGAGGAGCUUGCUUCUCUGGAUGAGUUGCGAACGGGUGAGUAACGCGUAGGUAACCUGCCUGGUAGCGGGGGAUAACUAUUGGAAACGAUAGCUAAUACCGCAUAAGAGUAGAUGUUGCAUGACAUUUGCUUAAAAGGUGCAAUUGCAUCACUACCAGAUGGACCUGCGUUGUAUUAGCUAGUUGGUGAGGUAACGGCUCACCAAGGCAACGAUACAUAGCCGACCUGAGAGGGUGAUCGGCCACACUGGGACUGAGACACGGCCCAGACUCCUACGGGAGGCAGCAGUAGGGAAUCUUCGGCAAUGGACGGAAGUCUGACCGAGCAACGCCGCGUGAGUGAAGAAGGUUUUCGGAUCGUAAAGCUCUGUUGUAAGAGAAGAACGAGUGUGAGAGUGGAAAGUUCACACUGUGACGGUAUCUUACCAGAAAGGGACGGCUAACUACGUGCCAGCAGCCGCGGUAAUACGUAGGUCCCGAGCGUUGUCCGGAUUUAUUGGGCGUAAAGCGAGCGCAGGCGGUUAGAUAAGUCUGAAGUUAAAGGCUGUGGCUUAACCAUAGUACGCUUUGGAAACUGUUUAACUUGAGUACAAGAGGGGAGAGUGGAAUUCCAUGUGUAGCGGUGAAAUGCGUAGAUAUAUGGAGGAACACCGGUGGCGAAAGCGGCUCUCUGGCUUGUAACUGACGCUGAGGCUCGAAAGCGUGGGGAGCAAACAGG